AUGUCAUUAACGUAUUCCCUCCUCCUUGCCAUGUGUUGGCGUGACCUCAGAGGACCGUAAGUUGUUUGUGGGCAUGCUGGGGAAGCAGCAGAGUGACGAGGAUGUGCGGAGGCUGUUCGAGGCCUUCGGACACAUAGACGAGUGCACUGUGCUCAGGGGCCCCGACGGGACCAGUAAAGGAUGUGCGUUUGUCAAGUUCCAGGGACACACCGAAGCUCAGGCAGCCAUCAACAGCCUCCAUGGAAGCCGCACACUGCCUGGGGCGUCGUCCAGCCUGGUGGUGAAGUUCGCCGACACAGAGAAGGAGCGCGGCCUGCGGAGGAUGCAGCAGGUGGCCUCCCAGCUCGGCAUCUUCAGUCCCAUGACGCUGAACUUCCCCGCGUACAACGCCUACACGCAGGCCGUCAACGCACAGGCCUUGGUCCAACAGCAGGCCCUGGUUGCCCAGUCAGCGUACUUGUCUCCGGUAGCAACAGUUGCCGCAGUACAGAUGCAGCAGAUGGCAGCCCUCAACGCCAACGGAAUCAUCGCCACGCCCAUCACACCCAUCACACCCUCAUCGGGUACCAACACCCCGCCCAGCAUGGCGGCAACGCCCGUGUCAGCACUUCACCAACAGCUAGGGGUCAACGGUUACAGCAGCUUGCCAGCCCCAACCAAUGGGCAACAAGCGACAGAGGCAAUCUACACCAAUGGAAUCCACGCAUAUCAAGGUAUCUUUUCCCAGAGUCCGGCGGCGCUGGACCCCCUACAGCAGGCCUACACAGGCAUGCAGCACUACACGGCUGCCUACCCUGCCGCUUAUGGAUUGGUCGGACAGCCGUUCCCACAGCAGCCAACCCUGGUUGCCCAGCAACACCAGCAGCCCCAGCAACAGCAGCAGAGAGAAGGUCCAGAGGGCUGUAACAUCUUCAUCUACCACCUGCCGCAGGAGUUCAGUGACUCAGAAAUGCUGCAGAUGUUCCUGCCCUUUGGAAACGUGAUCUCGGCCAAAGUGUUUGUGGACCGUGCCACCAAUCAGAGCAAGUGCUUCGGCUUUGUGAGUUUUGACAACCCCUCUAGCGCUCAGGCGGCCAUCCAGUCCAUGAAUGGCUUCCAGAUUGGCAUGAAAAGGCUCAAGGUGCAACUGAAAAGACCUAAAGAUGCCAACCGCCCAUACUGAGAUGGGGGCAGAGAACAAAAGAGGAGAAUGGAUCCUCCUGUCCAAUCAUAAUUCGCGGGACCCCGUCGCUAUCGCAAUGGUUGCCUAGUGACCGAUAAAGCCCUGACCCCCAAUUCCUCUCACAUUGUUACGCCAGCGGCUUACACAGCGGCUGAGGUGGAUUUCCCAGGAUCCAAUGCUCUGUCAAACGGUCUCAUACCCUAUGAGUGAUAUCGGAUCGCAGUUGCCUACACACAUCUACACACACAAACACACAAACCCGCACAGACACACACACACACACACACACACACACACACACACACACACACACACACACACACACACACACACACACACACACACACACACACACACACACACACAUACACACACACAUUCACCCAACGACACACACAAAAAGCCAACUCAUGAUGGUGCGGGUUGAUUUACAAAUGUACAUAAAGUGCGCAAACGUACACAUGACAACUGAAACAUCGACACUGCCACACACACACAUAUUCACACAGGUCCGUUGAUGUUUCUAUACAGUUAGAGAGUUGGAGAUCACAAGGCUCUGUUUUGAGGUGGCCAACAGGGUGUCUUUGUGCAGGUGAUAUCGCAAAGACCGAGUGUGUAUGGAGGGUACUGAUGAAUAUUGCUGAUAUAUCACUUUGGUAGACUAUAUCAUGUCUACAUCAUGUCUAUUAAAUGACAAAUAUAGAGGGACCGAUGUUUCAUAAUAAAAAAAAAAAUACUUAAAAAGAUGAAUAAAUAAGUAGGAUAGAGACAUGGAAAAAAGAUCGUAAUGGCCUGUAAAUAAUUUAGUUUACGAAGAGCAGCAUUUAAAAAAAAAGACAAAAAAUAAAAAAGAAUACUACUUUAGAUAAACACUGAACAAGACCCAAUAACAUUAUUAUUAUUGUUAUUAUUAUUAUUAUCAUUAUUAUCAUUAUGAUCAUUAUUAUUAUUGACAUCGGCAUCUUCGGAUCGGAAUACUACAUUCCAAAUUGUGAAAGGGGAAAAACACUAACCUAUUUUAAAUUUCUACGUAGAGUGUAGGUGACACAAGUGGGUGGGGAAUUGCACCUUUGUUGGGAGGUUUUAAUAUUGGAGCAAAUUUUUUAUUUAUUUACUAAUUUAUUAAUUAUUUUGCUUACUGGGAGGAGGGUUUGAAUAGCUUGCGAUAUUUUGAUUUUAGAAUUUUCUAUAGAAAACCAUUUGAGAGCCUGUUUCUGCCAGACUCCUGCAAUCAAGUGAUUAUAAUUAUGUAUUAAUUAUUACAACAAUUAUAUUUAUUUUUAAGUUAUUGAACUGUUUCUGAUCCAAUCUUUUUAAGUUAAAAUAAAAAGUAUCAUACUGAA